GGGUUGUGAGGUUAAGCGACUAAGCGUACACGGUGGAUGCCCUGGCAGUCAGAGGCGAUGAAGGACGUGCUAAUCUGCGAUAAGCGCCGGUAAGGUGAUAUGAACCGUUAUAACCGGCGAUUUCCGAAUGGGGAAACCCAGUGUGAUUCGUCACACUAUCAUUAACUGAAUCCAUAGGUUAAUGAGGCGAACCGGGGGAACUGAAACAUCUAAGUACCCCGAGGAAAAGAAAUCAACCGAGAUUCCCCCAGUAGCGGCGAGCGAACGGGGAGGAGCCCAGAGCCUGAAUCAGUCCGAAUGGGGAAACCCAGUGUGAUUCGUCACACUAUCAUUAACUGAAUCCAUAGGUUAAUGAGGCGAACCGGGGGAACUGAAACAUCUAAGUACCCCGAGGAAAAGAAAUCAACCGAGAUUCCCCCAGUAGCGGCGAGCGAACGGGGAGGAGCCCAGAGCCUGAAUCAGCAUGUGUGUUAGUGGAAGCGUCUGGAAAGGCGCGCGAUACAGGGUGACAGCCCCGUACACAAAAGCGCAUGUGCUGUGAGCUCGAUGAGUAGGGCGGGACACGUGGUAUCCUGUCUGAAUAUGGGGGGACCAUCCUCCAAGGCUAAAUACUCCUGACUGACCGAUAGUGAACCAGUACCGUGAGGGAAAGGCGAAAAGAACCCCGGCGAGGGGAGUGAAAAAGAACCUGAAACCGUGUACGUACAAGCAGUGGGAGCCCCACCACUAAGCCAGUGGUGAACUCCACAUCCGCAUCCUUUGCUGAGGAUACGGUUAACGGAGCGAAAGCGACGUUCAACCGCAAAACAAGCAGAGGGGGCUUAGUGGUGGGGUGACUGCGUACCUUUUGUAUAAUGGGUCAGCGACUUAUAUUCUGUAGCAAGGUUAACCGUAUAGGGGAGCCGGAGGGAAACCGAGUCUUAAUUGGGCGUUAAGUUGCAGGGUAUAGACCCGAAACCCGGUGAUCUAGCCAUGGGCAGGUUGAAGGUUGGGUAACACUAACUGGAGGACCGAACCGACUAAUGUUGAAAAAUUAGCGGAUGACCUGUGGCUGGGGGUGAAAGGCCAAUCAAACCGGGAGAUAGCUGGUUCUCCCCGAAAGCUAUUUAGGUAGCGCCUCGUGAAUUCAUCUCCGGGGGUAGAGCACUGUUUCGGCUAGGGGGCCAUCCCGGCUUACCAACCCGAUGCAAACUGCGAAUACCGGAGAAUGUUAUCACGGGAGACACACG
rnacentral:rRNA from 1 species